rnacentral:rRNA from 1 species
AGUGAACGCUGGCGGCAGGCCUAACACAUGCAAGUCGAACGGCAGCACAAGAGAGCUUGCUCUCUGGGUGGCGAGUGGCGGACGGGAGAGGAAUGCAUCGGAAUCUGCCCAUUUGUGGGGGAUAACCUCGGGAAACCGGGACUAAUACCGCAUACGACCUACGGGGGAAAGCAGGGGAUCUUCGGACCUUGCGCAGAUGGAUGAGCCGAUGCCGGAUUAGCUAUUUGGAGGGGUAAAGGCCCACCAAGGCGACGAUCCGUAGCUGGUCUGAGAGGAUGAUCAGCCACACUGGGACUGAGACACGGCCCAGACUCCUACGGGAGGCAGCAGUGGGGAAUAUUGGACAAUGGGCGCAAGCCUGAUCCAGCCAUGCCGCGUGUGUGAAGAAGGCCUUCGGGUUGUAAAGCACUUUUGUUGGGAAAGAAAAGCAGCCGGUUAAUACCCGGUUGUCAUGACGGUACCCAAAGAAUAAGCACCGGCUAACUUCGUG